CUUGUUUGUGAUGGUGCUGCAGGACGAGGCAACCCUUGGAGGCAGCUGUGGGAAGAUUGUCUGCAAGGUCCAGGUUACUGAGCAAGCAAACAGGAUCAGCAAACAGAAAACAGAAGAGACACCAGAUUACAUGGCAGCAGCUUUUGGCUGGACAUCUAGAAGCAUCUCCUAAAAGCCAGAGCUCUUCAGCCAAGGAGGAGGCUGCACAGGGGGUGAGGAGCUCCCUCUCUUUCACUGUACGACUCUCUCUUCCAUGGAGACUCAGCACUGAGCAGGGGGUGGGAGGAGAAGACCUCCAAAGUCCCUUUCAGCCUGGACCUUCUAUCAGCCGUGGAGAUAGCAUUUCCAUUCACACUGUGUGGAUGAGAGAAAUGAGCUCAGCCUUCCAAAUCCACCACUGAAAGCAGGAGUAGCUCUUUCCGCCCUCCACCCCUCAAAAGCCCUCAGAGUUCUGCAAUUGGCAAUCUUGCAUUGCUGAGAAAAAGUCCAUCCUGUCAUCGCCUGUUGUGGAACCUGCAGCAACAAAAAUUCUACAUCCUUUCCAUGCAGAAAGGAAAACAGACAACUUUCCUCUAGCAAUGUUUUGCAAGCCUCCAAAAUCCAAGCAGCCCAUAUGAAGGACAGCAGUAAACUCACCCAGCCGCCUCUCCUUUAAAAAGAAUGCUGGGGGGGGGAGGAAUUGGGGUCAUCGUAAGGCAUCAGCUUCUCAGAAGGGGAAACCAACCGACCAUCUAUAAACUCCCGCAGAGCCUUGCAUUAAAAAUAAGAGGCUGGCCUACUGGGAGUCAAAUAAGUCUCAGCCGAGCCAGAAAUAGAUCUGGUUUAAUUGGUGGUGAAACAGUAGGAUCACAUGGGGCUGCGGUUUGAUUUGAACUGAUCCUCAUCUUUGGGGAACAAGCUUCCCUUGUUCAGCAAAAAUAGCCAUCGGGUGGUGGAAGCAGACUUCAAGUGAAGAUUAGGAGAAACUUCUCACAGCAAGAGCUGAAGAGCUGAAGACAUGACUUGGGAUGACUUCACUGAAGCAGAGAGAUCUUGCGAUUCCAGAUCCUGCAUGGAGCUGUCAAUUGAUCCCUUCGAGGAUUUUAUGAAGUUCUGCUGCAGCUCAGUUUGGUAUAGGUGGGAUGACCGAGGGAAAUUCUGUGCACUUUUAGCCCCUUUCUUGAAGGACAUUUAGCUAUUCAACUAAAAGCACUCUAUUGAAAAUCAAUAAGCAUAAUGUGUUUCAAAGCCAAGUAAAAUAAAACAUGACAAUAUUA